ensembl:lncRNA
AACAUCUAUUAAAGUAAUUAGGCUAAAUUUUGCUUUCAUGUUGAUUUUAUGUAUAAAGAGCUGUCAUUAAAGCAACACGUAUGUUUCACCCUCCCUACAGUGUGUUGUGUCUGUGUGUCGGUGUGACUGUGGGAGCCGAGGGAGCAGAGGUGUCGGUGACACAGGGAGAGGAAUGGAGAGAGAGACGAUAGAUACGGAGGGAGCGAGAUGGUGAGAACAACAGACCUGCGGGAGGGAGGGGGCGCAUGGAGAGAGCGGAGUUCGAUGAACAGAGAAAAAGGGGAAGGAGCGAGACAGGACCCUGAGAGAGAGAGGGAAGGAAACGUUCAAGAUUCUGGAUGAGGGACAGAGCGGAUGGAGAAGGGGAAAGGCUGGAUACAAAGGGAGAGAGAGGAACUCAAGUGCUUGAACGCAGGAUCCAUCUGUUCGGUGUAUCGUCUGAUUUCCCCCUCCCAGCACCCUCCUCUUUCUCUUUUCCUCCCUCACCUCCCAUUAAAACCACGUAAGCCUGAUUUAUCAAGAAUUGGCUCUCAGGUAUGUGUGUGUGUGUGUGUGUGUGUGUGUGUGUGUGUGUGUGUGUGUGUGUGUGUGUGUGUGUGUGUGUGUGUGUGUGUGUGUUUCUUAACAGAACUGAGGGAACGUAUAACUGUGUUUCAUUACCGCUGUAAGAGACGUUAAGAUAAUCAUUCAAAUCGCUCAGAGUCGUACCCCACCCGGCUGCUAAUUCAAUCUGCCCACAGCAAAACAUGCCAAACAACAUCCAUUAUGGUCACACAGUUAAUUGGCAGAGGGUGGGGGCUCAGGCUUGAGUCAGGGGGGAAGCGUUGCAGCGGACAAAAGCAAUCUUGUCUUUUCACCGGUUUGAGAUGGUGGAACACAGCAAUGCUCUUGCAAUGCUUCGUAUUGUCAUUAGACAACAGACAAAGACACACAGGACAAUAAUAUAAACUGCUGGUGGGAUGAUGUUAAAAAUAUGUUCUGCAAUUUUAUAUAUUUGGGCUUCUAUUAAAAAUAUUAGUAAAUAUUAUAAAUGUGCUUCUAAAAUAUCACCAUGCUUGUAGCUUUUAAACGUACUUAAUCUGUUUAGAAUUAAGAUUUUAAAUUAUUUACAAGCCCUUGCUGUUUUGGAGCCAGAAAAAUACUAUUCUGGUUUAAA